rnacentral:lncRNA from 1 species
GCAGUUUUGUAGAUUCCAUUUUAUUGGCCUGGUAUCACAGCAUUAGAAAUACAAGGGGAAAAGCCAAGACGAUGAAAGCCAGGGAACAUAGCUGCAAGCACCAGAGAGCACAAGUUCCCCUCCAUGGCUCUGCGGCUCAAAUGGAAAAAGGAGAGAUGUCUGCUUUGAUUUCUUUCCUUUUAAUUAAUCAGGAUCACAAAGCAAUCUCCACCCUGUCCCUGGGAUUUAAGAUACUGGUUAAACUCCACCGUGUCCCGAAUUCUCCACAGAAGGUGGAGGAGUGUUCAGAAUCUGAAGUCCACCCGCGGACCAUUAAAAACCUCUAGGUCUGUGCCCUCAUUUUUAACACUCAAAUUAAAGGAUCACCCUGAGCCACCACGCAGUGCACUCUUCUCUAUUUUCUCCCUCUUGUUGCUGGGCCGGUUUUGGAAAUUAGAAGGGGUGGUCUCUUUGUUAGCAAUCUGUUUACUUUCUUCUGAUACAAUGAAGCAUCAGGUCGAAGGUGACAAGGCUUCUUUGCUUAGUCAUUUUUACCCAUCUCUUUGUAGAUGAUGUUUUUUUCCAUUUUCAAUUUUUUUUUUCAUCAAUGCCAUCUCCCCAACAGCAUUUCAAAAAUAAAAUUUCCAAGUCCUUUUUUUAAAUGUGGUUCCAGUCAAAUGAUUUACCCACACCCCAAAUAAUAUUAUUUACAUCCAGUAUUAAUAGCUGCAUAUCAGUAAUUCUUAGAGAUCUUCUGAUCCAUAUUUAACAAUUUAAAUGAUGGCUAACAUUAUUGCCAGGCAAAUGCCUGAACCAAUAGUUUGUGGACUAGUUGCCAGCCAGAUGACAGCCAGGUAUACACAGGGUAAGAACAUAAUUAAGUUUCUGCCCUAGUCUCUUCAAUUGCAGAAGGCAGACAACACUCUUUCUCACCUUCCAGGGAAGUAGAUUAGCAGAUUAACAAAAUGAUGUAAAUCACAUAAGCUUUACAUCCCCCUUCCCCUUCUAAUACCUAUUUAGGAACACUUUAAAAUUUUUCCUUUAGGCAUCUAGUCUUUCUGUGGUUUAGCCACAUGCUCUCCCCUUUUUGGCUUUCUCCUUCUGUAAAAUAAGUAAGGUGAAAGAGCAGAUUAGGAGUUUUUCUUUUUCUUACAGCUUUCCUGUGUUUGAGUGGAUCAUCCUGUUGCCAUCGUUUUAGUCCAGUUGUUGUUAAUUCAUGUUCUUACCACCCACCAAAGAAUAGCACAGGAUUAAGUUUAUAUUAAUAAAUGAUGUUCAUGAGUAGGUUUUUAAAUGCCAGAGUUAUGAUUUAUUUUUUUAAAUGGGUGGAGAAAGGAGAGCGGCAAUAACUAGCUCCCAAGUCAUUCAAAAUCCUGGCAUCACACAUCUAUGUGGGUUUUUCUUUCUUUGUUUUGGUCUUUAAGUUUUUUGGACACACCUCUUAUUUCCCUUUUAGUCCUAUAUCAUGGAAUAAAUGCUUUUUUUGACUAUCUUUGUCCAUAGCUUGAAACCCUGUUUAUUACAGUUAAAUUUAUAGAAAGUAUUAUAUGGUCCUCUUUUCUUCUUCUUAAGAGCUUAUAAUUGUCCCUGUUUAUCUCCCCACCCAUUAAGAAUUCUGUAAUAAAUCCCUGCACCAAAUAAAUUAAAAUCUGCAACUUCAGACACCCGAGGAAGAGGACAUUAAUCCACUUAGUAAAAUACUCAAGACCUCCCCCUCUCAAUUUCAGCUCUUCUUAAUGUAACAUUCAGUAAUUACAGCUGGCUCCUUAUACUUCCCUCCCUCCCUUUUAUUCUGAAUUAUAUUGGCCUUGCUUAACCUUCAUUUCCUUUUCUACCCCCCACAUUUGUCCACAUACUUUUCUUUGACCAUGUUUGUCUCUUUCUCUUUCUUUCUGCUGUGUGGAUUGAGGGCAACAAAUGAAGCUUUCCAAGAGCUUAAUACUUGCCCGUAAAAUCCCAUCCUACCUCCCCAUUCCACUAUUAACGUUUUGUACAAUUUUUAUGCAUCCUUCAGUUGUGUAGUUACUGCUCUAUAUUUUUCUGAUUGAUCAUUAAGUUAUGCUGGCUUUUCAGAACUGUCUCCAUAAUCCUGAAGCAAAGCCUUUUUACUUGGCAUGCUCUCUGCCUUUGGAAUGCCUUUCCUGGCAAGGACAGACGCUUUGGUUUGACUACGAUUCUUAAGUUACAAUUCAAAGCUAAUUUGUUCAGUUAGGUUUCUACUAUGAGCAGCUCUGUUUCUCACCGUUAAGUGCUCCAUGAUGCUGCUUAGUUGAAGGGUGUGUUGUAAGUGCAAGAUGUAAUAUACUUAUAUUGUACUUGAUUAUCAGUUUUCAAAAACAGCUGCAUGCUUUGAUAUCUGUGUAAGGAAAUAUCGAAAGAUAAUAUACCAUUGGUAUUUAUUACUCUAUAAUUAAGGAUGUGUCAGUGUUUCCCUUCCAAAAAAGCCCCUUAUUUUCAGAAAUUCAUAUCUCAGGCAUAAAUUUCCCUAUGAAUUACAGUCUAAUACCAUAUUAGAAGUUUCUCCUUUUUAAGUUAUCCCUCCCCUUCCUUUUCUUUCUGAGGAAGUAAGUCUCAGGAUGUAAUUUCUGGGUUAUUGCUUUGGGAUGAGGGGGAGCAGGCCCAGUGAUGCACAGUUCAAGGUGCUGCCACAUUGCCACCUGCUCCCUCUGCUCUUCUGCCCUGUGUGGGGAGACACUGGGGGCUGCCUUUCUGAUGAAGGGUCAGCUUUAUACACACAUGGGUGAGCAGCUUUGCCACUGUAUGAUUCGAAAGGCAAUAGAGAAGAGUCAGUUGUCCAGAAAUAUCACAAGUGCCACAGAGUCUGAACUUUUAGUACAGAAAUCAAUUCUUCCGCAUUCCUCUCCUUAUGGUCAUUGAGAAUACAAGCACUGGCUGGUGUAACAUGAAAUACACCUAGAGUAAGGUAUUAGCAACUUAUUAACACGUUUCUUCUUACAGUGAGAGGCAGAAGGAAGAAAGAGGAGAAAGAGAAGACAAAUGUUUUUCCCUUCUUGAAGAGGUGGUCUUGACUACUGCUCAACCACAGCCUACUGAAAGAGCCCUGGAAAAUCUGAGUUCUAGAUCUGCCUGUACCACUGUGGGACCCAAGCAAAGGACUGGGAGACAGAAGCCUUCAGUUUGAAUUUCAGAUUCUUGAAGACUAACUUUCUCAAUCAUAUUCUCGGGAAAGUAACUAUGUGUUCAUUUCUAAGAAUCAUGUGAAGAUGGCUCUGUCUACUGAGAAUCGACUUCAAAUGCAUGCUACUAAAAUGGAGCUAAUAUGCGUCAUUUCCUCAGCUAUAAUUUGGGGAGGUUAAUACUUGUUAAAUCACUAGACUGCUAUAAGGUUUGCCCAUAAACAUUGUAAAUAAUGUAUUCAAAAUUAUUAAAAUGUUACAAUAUAAACAAGAAUGUGAUAUAAUAAAAUGUAAUUAUAUAAA